ensembl:snoRNA
AUCUUUCUGUAGUUCAUAAGCGUGAUGGUGAGGGGCUCACGCUGUUGGGUGCCAUGUGCAUCCCUCAGACCUUGUUACAACGGCAGCACAUGGCCCAGCUGACA